GCCAGGCAUGAUGGUGCUCGUGCCUGUAAUCCCAACUUGGGAGGCUGAGGCAGGAGGAUCACUUGAGGCCAGGAGUUCAAGACCAGCCUGGGCAAACAUAAUGAGACCCCAUUACUU
rnacentral:sRNA from 1 species